rnacentral:rRNA from 1 species
AUUGAACGCUGGCGGCAGGCCUAACACAUGCAAGUCGAACGGUAACAGGAAGAAGCUUGCUUCUUUGCUGACGAGUGGCGGACGGGUGAGUAAUGUCUGGGAAACUGCCUGAUGGAGGGGGAUAACUACUGGAAACGGUAGCUAAUACCGCAUAACGUCGCAAGACCAAAGAGGGGGACCUUCGGGCCUCUUGCCAUCGGAUGUGCCCAGAUGGGAUUAGCUAGUAGGUGGGGUAACGGCUCACCUAGGCGACGAUCCCUAGCUGGUCUGAGAGGAUGACCAGCCACACUGGAACUGAGACACGGUCCAGACUCCUACGGGAGGCAGCAGUGGGAAUAUUGCACAAUGGGCGCAAGCCUGAUGCAGCCAUGCCGCGUGUAUGAAGAAGGCCUUCGGGUUGUAAAGUACUUUCAGCGGGGAGGAAGGGAGUAAAGUUAAUACCUUUGCUCAUUGACGUUACCCGCAGAAGAAGCACCGGCUAACUCCGUG